UGUAUGUCGUGCUUGCUGCCGUCUGCAGAAGGACAGCAGCACAGUCCUGAAUUAGCCACCAGGGCCUUCAGAGAGGAUCCCGGGACAGCGUGUGGCGCCCGGCCCAGCAAGCCCCACAGCUCCUGCACCCUCCCAGCCUCCCAGAGCUCUCUGACCCAGGGUCCCCACCAGGCCUGAGCCCCAGGCCAUGGGACCCGCACUUCCCAGGAACCUGAUGCACCCGAGAGGCGGCCACAUCCCAAAUCAUUUUCUCCAGGAUGACCUUCACCUCCCAGCACUGGCCACUUAUCCUGGAAAACAGAAGCUCCCUGGCAAAGCGGCCCUGGCCUGUGCCUCCCCUGGCCCUGGAGCAACCGCGCUGCAAUGCCCCUGCCUGAGCUGGAACACCCGCUGGAAGUGGGCGGGCAGCCAGUGCCUUCUUGGGGUGGGCUUUUGGCCUGGGAAGCCUUUUGCUGCCUUCUGACUCCACUAAAAGCCCACUCUCCUGUC